GCCCUGCAGAAUCAAACACACUGAAGAUACUGAAGAACAAACAGAGUUGAUUGAAGAAAAUGAGGAGAGUGAAGAAUUGAGUGAAGUUGAGGGAAAAAAUCACUUCAGAACUGGAAAAAAACCUUUGAGUUGCUGUCGAACUCUGAAAGUUUUAAAGAAAAGAA